CUAUUUGAUGGUUCGCCGUCGAGUAGCUAGUGAUGUCAUACUUCCAAGAAAAGCUCAUACAUCUUUAUAAUUUAAUUACCUGUACCUGAAACCGACACAGGUAGGUUGGUAGAGAAUACCAAGGGGCGCGAGAGAACUCUCUCUAAGGAACUCGGCAAACUGGCCCCGUAACUUCGGAAGAAGGGGCGCCCAUCCUUAAAAAGGUGGGUCGCAGUGACCAGGCCCAGGCGACUGUUUACCAAAAACACAGGUCUCCGCAAAGUCGUAAGACAAUAUAUGGGGGCUGACGCCUGCCCAGUGCCGGAAGGUUAAGGAAGUUGGUUAUUUCGUAAGAAAAAAGCUGACGACCGAAGCCCCGGUGAACGGCGGUCGUAACUAUAACGAUCCUAAGGUAGCGAAAUUCAUUGUCGAGUAAGUUUCGACCUGCACGAAAGGCGUAACGAUCUGGGCGCUGUCUCGGAGAGAGGCUCGGUGAAAUAGACUUGUCCCGUGAAGAUGCGGACUACCUACACCUGGACAGAAAGACCCUAUGAAGCUUGACUGUAUCUUGGAAUUGGGUUUGGGCUUUUCUUGCGCAGCCUAGGUGGGAGGCUAUGAAGAUUACCUUCCGGGGUAAUUAGAGCCGUCAUUGAGAGACCACUCUGGGAGAGCUAGAAUCCUAAUGGGGAUCCUUGAAUCAGGACCCUUGACAGUUUCAGGUGGGCAGUUUAUUUGGGGCGAAUGCCUCCUAAAAGGUAACGGAGGCGUGCAAAGGUUCCCUCAGUCUGGACGGAAAUCAGACAUUGAGUGUAAAGGCAAAAGGGAGCUUGACUGCAAGACCUACAAGUCGAGCAGGGGCGAAAGCCGGCCUUAGUGAUCCGACGGUGCCGAGUGGAAGGGCCGUCGCUCAACGGAUAAAAGUUACUCUAAGGAUAACAGGCUGAUCUUCCCCAAGAGUUCACAUCGACGGGAAGGUUUGGCACCUCGAUGUCGGCUCAUCACAUCCUCGGUCUGUAAUAGGUCCGAAGGGUUGGGCUGUUCGCCCAUUAAAGUGGUACGUGAGCUGGGUUCAAAACGUCGUGAGACAGUUUGGUCCAUAUCCGGUGUAGGCGCUAGAGCAUUGAGAGUAGCCUUUCAUAGUACGAGAGGACCUGAAAGGACAUGCCAAUUGUGUACCAGUUCUCAUUCCAAUGGGAAACGCUGGGUAGCUACGCAUGGAUAGAUAACUGCUGAAAGCAUCUAAGUAGGAAGCUAAACUCAAGAUGAGUGCUCUCUAAGGCCGCGGCUAGACAAGCCGUUAUAUAGGUAUCAGGUGUACAGUCAGCAAUGGCUUCAGCCGAGAUAUACUAAAGGCC
rnacentral:rRNA from 1 species